AUUGAACGCUGGCGGCAGGCCUAACACAUGCAAGUCGAACGGUAACAGAAAGCAGCUUGCUGCUUUGCUGACGAGUGGCGGACGGGUGAGUAAUGUCUGGGAAACUGCCUGAUGGAGGGGGAUAACUACUGGAAACGGUAGCUAAUACCGCAUAACGUCGCAAGACCAAAGAGGGGGACCUUCGGGCCUCUUGCCAUCGGAUGUGCCCAGAUGGGAUUGGCUUGUUGGUGGGGUAACGGCUCACCAAGGCGACGAUCCCUAGCUGGUCUGAGAGGAUGACCAGCCACACUGGAACUGAGACACGGUCCAGACUCCUACGGGAGGCAGCAGUGGGGAAUAUUGCACAAUGGGCGCAAGCCUGAUGCAGCCAUGCCGCGUGUAUGAAGAAGGCCUUCGGGUUGUAAAGUACUUUCAGCGGGGAGGAAGGGAGUAAAGUUAAUACCUUUGCUCAUUGACGUUACCCGCAGAAGAAGCACCGGCUAACUCCGUG
rnacentral:rRNA from 1 species